rnacentral:rRNA from 1 species
UACAGGGGGGUGCAAACGUUGCUCGGAAUCAUUGGGCGUAAAGCGCACGUAGGCGGUUCGUUAUGUCGGAUGUGAAAGCCCUUGGCUUAACCGAGGAAGUGCAUCCGAAACUGGCGAGCUAGAGUACGAAAGAGGAUCGCGGAAUUCCCGGUGUAGAGGUGAAAUUCGUAGAUAUCGGGAGGAACACCGGUGGCGAAGGCGGCGAUCUGGGUCGAUACUGACGCUGAGGCACGAAAGCGUGGGGGAGCGAACAGG